ACUUGUUACUGGCUUUUUACCCAGCAGGUGGGAGUCCAGAAGGCUGACUUGGUCUCUAAAAUGAAGCAGAACCUGUGACGACCACAGCCACCCAACAGCAAAAGACGCGGCAGAGCCUGGGUGAGCACAGGACUGAGAAUUCAUGGAGAAAGUUCUUGAGUUUAAGGGAGAGGUUAGACCAUUUAAUUGGCCAAAAAGGCCCAACUCUAAGAGCCGACCUGCAAGAAGCCAGCCUGGCAGCUUCUCCCACCACCACUCCCAGCUGCAGGGGCUGCCUGCUGUCCUUACCUCCCAGACAAGGGGGAUCAUGUCCUCCUUGGGGUCACCGCGGGCCAGUGCACACUUCUGUGGCCUGUUUUGCUCGCUACACUUACCUACUGUGACACCACUAUUGCUGACACAGCCACCUCCGUGCGGGGGGUCCCUGGGGCAGACACCUUGCUAUCUUCAUCUUAGGAUACCCAGUUCCUAACACAGUGCCUGCUGCAAAUUAUCAGUAAUAACAGGCCAUUAACUCCCCUGCUGGUCCCUAUCCAUGGAGCGCUCCAUUGACAGAUGAGUUUGGUUCUGGACCUAAGAAGGACAGUUACAGACACAGAUAUGUUUUAAGCCCUGCCCAUCCCUCAGCACACAUCUCAAAGAGGACCUGCCCCAUGAAGCAUUCCUGAUCCCCAGCCAGGUGUGAUGGUCGGUCCUGCAAGGCCCCCACAAGGUACCUUUUCUAUGGCACUCACAAUGUACUGCCUUCUACUGGAUUAUCAAUGACCAGACUACAGGUCCUGGUGGGCAGGGGCUGGGUCUGAUUCACUGUGGUCCCACCUCACCCCAGCUCUACUCCCACCCCAGGCCCUGACCAAGACGGGAGGAAGCUGACUAAAUUGGGUUGCAUAGGCUAAAAGGAAGGAUAGCCAAGAGCAUAAUGUGGCUCAGAAGAAUUUCAGUUUCACUUUCCCAGAAGUUAAACUUCCCACUCAUCAAGGUUCAAUGCCUUCUCCUCCGAAAAGCUUUUCUAACCUUUCGUCAGAACCCAUGACUCUUUCCUUUGGUUUCCGCAAUCAGAGUACAACUGUUGGAAAAACCGUUUAGGUUUUGCCCUUCACUCCGCUUAAGAGCGAAAGUCUUCAUUGAUAACUGGGCAGAAUGGUGUU